CCAAUAAGAGCGGAAAGUAUCAAGAUUUAGCUCUCCCUGAUCUCGAAAACUUUACUAGUGACCAAAUGUUUUUCAUCUCAAACGCUGUAGUAUGGUGUAACGCCAUGCGCGACGAAGCAAUGCGACAAAGGAUUCAGUACAACCCACACAGCCCUACGAAAUACAGGACUCUGGUACCUAUGAGCAACAUGGAUGCAUUUUCAGCGGCAUUUUCAUGCGAAGAAGG